UACAGAGGGUGCGAGCGUUAAUCGGAAUUACUGGGCGUAAAGCGUGCGUAGACGGUUACAUAAGUCGGGUGUGAAAGCCCCGGGCUCAACCUGGGAAUUGCAUUCGAGACUGUGUAGCUAGGAUGCGGAAGAGGGAAGCGGAAUUUCCGGUGUAGCGGUGAAAUGCGUAGAUAUCGGAAGGAACACCAGUGGCGAAAGCGGCUUCCUGGUCCAGCAUCGACGUUCAGGCACGAAAGCGUGGGGAGCAAACAGG
rnacentral:rRNA from 1 species